rnacentral:rRNA from 1 species
CCUACGGGCGGCUGCAGUAGGGAAUAUUGGGCAAUGGCGGAAACGCUGACCCAGCCAUGCCGCGUGCAGGAUGAAGGCCUUCUGGGUUGUAAACUGCUUUUACCAGGGAAGAAAAUACCUUUGCGAAGGGAACUGACGGUACCUGGUGAAUAAGCACCGGCUAACUCCGUGCCAGCAGCCGCGGUAAUACGGAGGGUGCAAGCGUUGUCCGGAUUUAUUGGGUUUAAAGGGUGCGUAGGCGGCUUGAUAAGUCCGUGGUGAAAGCCAACAGCUCA